UGUCAGCUCUGUGUUUGUUCUUCCUACAGGGGAGAGCGCUGGCAUCUCACAGCAAGCUAAUUGGAGCUUCAGCUGCAUCCACGAGCUUCCUUCUGCUCCUCCUAAGUAAGGAGAAGCAGCAGGAGGAACAGCCAGGGCCAGAUGGGACUGCAUGGAGGGAGAAUUGGAGACUCUGCUUGCAAGGUGCUUCUGUGCAGGUGGUGAUGCUGAACUCCCUGGAGCUGCUGUGUUCACCUAGGACUUGUUAGACCUGUGGAAAAAAAAAGAUCUUGCCAAGAAGCUACAGAGGACAACAAAUGUUUCCCAGCCUUCCUACUGUAACACCCUGAUGGUUCCAAGCUUUUUCAAGUGAGAGGUUUUAUGGUGUGGCAUGUUUAUAUAGGCAAAAAAAGAACAGAGGAGGAAAAAAAUUAAAAAAUUCUGCAUUGUAGAGAAAGAAGAAUGAAACUGGAAGACUGAUCUGUCAUCCAACAGAAUGCCCCAGUGCGUGGAUAAAUGGCAAGACAGGCAGCAUGGGUGAUAUUUCCAGUUUCCCUGGAGUGAAAGCACAUGCAGCUUACAGUGGAUAAUGAAAUGUUAUAUUUUUUAUGAGGAAUAUGUUAAUUCUGCCAGUACGGUAAUCCUGAGGCUCCAGUCCACAGCAGGGCUGACAUUUAUGUUAUGAAGAGAUGCGCAGACAUUUCUUGGGAUAUAGACUGACAGUGCAUGUAAAAAGCAAAACAAAAAAAACCAACCCAAAAAAACCACAGAGAAAAAUGUGAAAGAUUUCCUUUUCAUUCUCUUUUUCUUUCUCUCCCAUUCCAUCAUAUCAAAUAACGACUAAUGUCAAAGAGAUUGCUGCUCUAAAAGGUGCUCCACUAUUUUGUGAUUCAUGGCAAAUCCAAAAUUUAAAUUCUUUAUUUUUGUGUGUGUAUGUGGUUGGGGGAUGCCAGAUGUGACAGUCAGACCGAGGGGCUGAUCCAGUAUAUAAACCAUGUGUAGCUCAUGCUGUAGGUUUGCUCCGUUUCCCCGGUGUGCUUUGCAGCAGCGUGAUGGAGGCAGAGUUCCCAGACAGAGCUGUCCUUUUAAUCAGGUGCUGUGAUGGCCAACAUUGUUUCCCAAGGCUUUGGCUUUACAAAACUCAAGGGCCAUCAAUGAGAAAUUUGCCUCUGGUUGGAGAGGAAGGUCUCCCUCCUCUGCAGCCCGCUGGCAAAGUUAAAACAGGAUGAUGUGCCUGUCUUGCCACGUUCACAAGCAAAGCUGUCUUACAUUAUGAGACACUUGGAGUAGUCCUGGAACUGACUCCAGUGUUGGUGGGGGAGGCUGUUGCAGGGCUGACAUAGGGUAUAUAGGAAGGGAGGAGUAGGAAGGGCAUGCACAUCCUUUCCCUUUUUGUGAGGAAGGGUUGGUUCAAAUAACAUGAGGUUACAGCCUCAGUCAUAUUAGCACCUGAAUAUGUUGAUUUUGACUCAAAGCCCAGCCUGGAGAUACUGCGUUUAAUGAAGGUGCAAUGAAGAUCUUGCUGGCUUUCAUUUCCUGAGGUGGCUCUGGGUCACUCAUGCUGUGGGAUCACCUAAUGGGAAGGUUGCAGGAGGCGUUUGGCCUUCCGUGGUUUUAUUCUGCUUUUGCAGGGCUUUCUGCAGGGUAUUCCUCCAUGGCUGAUGCAGGAGGCUCUCCUUUCAUGCAGCUGACGGGUAUGCUGUGAGGCCCAUCCUGUGUCCCUAACGUGGGUGAGGAGUUAGAUGAUCACACCCUCUGUGUUGGCCUGACCUCGUCUGGCCUGCCUCCAGAUAGCUCAGCUGGUUUUUGCUGAGCUCCAAAACCUGGAACGUGAUCGUUUAAGUCUGAAGAAUUCCCUUAUCUGCUAAUUGUAGCUACAGUGGGGGAAACUGGCCCAAGUUAUAGAAGUGAUUUCUUCAAGUGCAGCAUUCUUGGCAUGCAUAAGCUUGUGGUAUCUGAUUACUGUUUUUCAGCAAGUAACGCAACUGAUUAAAUCAAGCUAUUGUACUGCUCUGCAACCUAUUUCUGUGUUCUUCCUGCCACUACCCCAUUUAUUGCCAGUUUAAUGCAUACUCACCACUGUUUAUACCAUCCUGCUGUAUAUUAAUCACGUAUUUAUGGGAGGGGACAUAGGAAUAGAUUUGCGAGGAGAAAUACCUUGGGUCGCACAGGCUUUUGCAGAGAAGCAUCUGUCCUAAAACACUGACAUUUCCCAGAGCUUCUUAGAGUUGGUAUAUAGAGGGUUUUUGAGACAGAAGACCCUUGUUAGGCAGCUGAAGUCCUGCUUGUGGUUAGCCAUGGCGGCCCAGGAUAUAGAGGAUUGUAUAUGAUGAAUGUAUGGCAGAGUUAUAAACUCCUCUAAACAUUCAUUUUAAGAUACCAUUUAAUCUUUCUCUCUCUGUUUUUUAUUUUUUUUUAAUUGAACCGGGUUUUUGAAAGACAUUUAGAAAUACAAAGAUAAAGAUAAAUGCCAAGGAGAAAUAAUCAAAAUAAUCCAGAAGCCAGACUCCUGUUGGAAAUGGUAGAUAACCAAUUAGCAGUGGAUAGAAAAUGACUAGGAAUAAAUGAUAGUGUAGCUUAUCGUGCAAUUCCUAUGUUUUUAAAUGAUUUUUAUAAAAUGAGGAGGUCUUUUUUGGAGCCGGAAGUUGGACUCAGUGACCCUUAUGAGUCCCUUCCAAUUUGGAAUAUUGUAUGACUCUAUGACUUAGGGCAGACAGUACUGCAGUCAGGCUUCCAAACGUUGUAUUUAAUCACAAGCCAGUCUCUAAUAUUCAAGAAAGAAGCAAAUACUGAAAAGCCUCAAAUAAAAGGAACAGGCAGGACUUUAAAAGGAAAAAAAAGAAGUUCAGAUAAGGAAAAUUAAUCAGCAGUUCUGAAAUGAUUAUGAUUGUCAGAGAACAAGGUUUUUGCCAGUGUAACAGAGCUGGUCUCUGCCCCUGAGCUUGCUUAAGCAGUUAAUCUGUGUAUGAACUCUUAGUCUUAGAGAUCACUCAAAGGAUAUUCAUCAUCCCUGAGCAUUUAAAAACAUACAUUUGUGCGAGUAAAAAAGUAGAGAUUGAGUGGCAGUGGGGUAGCUGCAGGCUCAGGUUGGCUCUUAAUGCAGGUCUUCCAAAGGUGAGUGUGUAACAUCGUGUGUGUGUACCUAUGUAUGCAUUGCCAAUGAGUGUUGUCAAUGGUCUGUGAUUACUUGGUAGCUGGCUUGCACGAGCAGAGCCUGUGUUUGUAUAUUGCAGACCAUGUACUUUGUCUUCUUUGUAACAAGCUGUGACCUUCUUCCAUUUAGGAACCGGAUUUGGAAAGACUUUAUUUUCUUUUAGAUUUACUGGUAUCAAGGAAAAGUCAAAGACUUCAGACUGCAGUUCAGAGAAAACAUUUCAUGCUUUUCUCCCGCUCUUUUUCUCCUCCUCCUUCCCUUGCCUGCUAACCAUGAGAAAGAGCCAACAUUUAAACAGUGUUUCCUGGUCGUGCUUCUCAGUUUCUUGUUUUCUUAACAGGGGGAGUCUGAACAAUUUCCUGUAAUUUUGAAGCUUUUCAAAGUAAAAUUUGUCAAUGGCAUUUCUAAAUACUGUCCUAUCUUAGCAUGUCUCUAACAUGCUUUGCUCUUGGCCUCCAUGCCGUGUAUGGAAGUCCUCCAAAUUUGUUCUGCUAUGGGUUGAGAGUGAGAGUGUAGAUAAGGGUGUACCUGGCAGACAGUUGUGCUCAUUCCACUGCCACUGGGUAAUGCUGCAAUCUCUGUUGGAAGUCAGUGUCUCUCUGGUGAAAUGGCUCUCAUAGGUAAUCCCAAGCAGAGACUUGUGUGCCCUCAUCUCAGCUGGACUGAAGCAGCUUGGGGUGCUUUGCCUGGCCCUGGAGCUAUGUUGGAAGGCAAGACUGGCAACUGAUCUGUAAGGAAGCAGGAUCCAUCUGUCACUGUCACUGGCAUGGUUUGACUGGAUCAAACCCUUCCACAAGCUGUGAGUAAGUUACAAGGCAGUGUGGUUGGGUUGACCAGCACUUAGAAAGGCUGAUCUCUUCUUGUGGAGUUUUUACCGUUCUGCCAGACUCAUUCCUGAGCGGUUGGUUCAUAAUUGUUUGAGAGUGUGCCCCUGAACUUGGGAUUCAUGAGUCACAAGAGUCACUCACGUGGGAAGAGAUGUGUGAGGAUAUCUAGUCUACCCUCUGCCCAAAGCAGGGCCAGUUCUGAGAUCUUUCUCCAGGUAGAUCUCGAACUUCUGAGGAUGGAGCCUGCACAACCUCUCUGGGCGUCAUGGUCCGGCUUCAUUUCUCACCUCAGGCAUCUUCAUGGUGAAGAUCUGCAUGUAUUCAAACAAAACUACAAGUGAUUCAAUUGCUGAUGACUGUAGCACUGUACAUGACCAUAGCAUGGGCACCAUUAGAAUGGGUAGAGCUCUUAGCAGCAAUUCUAGACAGCGACAAGCUAUGCCUCAAAGCUAUUGGUUUGCUCAUUUUGAGGAGUACAGGGCAGGCAAACAAGUGCACAGUAAUGCUGUCAACUGAUACUGUGUCAUUGCAGUGAGCAAGGUGAGUAUAAAAAGGAAAAAUAUAAAAAUAAAAUUUCCUGAUAAAAUUGCCUUUCAAUUAAAUGACUUGAUAGGAGGUUUUAUAAAGGGGAAGAAGACCUCUAAAGUAGCUCGAACAAGUUAACAGGAAAGGUAGAAAAAGGGAAGGCACUAAGAAAUAAAACUGGCAGAUCUUAAAUCUUAGAGAUGUUUGGGGGAUGGCAAGUCCAGCUGAGAUAUUUAUAAUUUUGAGUUACCAUGUGGAAGUCAGUGGUGCUUACCCUCUAAGCACAGUCUGAAGGUAAGGCCUCUGCUCACAUUGGAAAGCUUUGGACAGGCUAUAUGUAAAGACUGUCAGGACUGGGCUCUGAUUCCUGUGUAGAGCUUGAAUACGGUAAAAUUCAUACCAGUUUGGGGUUUCUUUUCUUUGCAGUGACAUUGAGGGGAGUUUGUUUACCAUCUGGCUGUUAAGAUAGGAAAGAGAAGAAAAAAAAAAAAAGAAAUAGAGCUUGUUUUCUAAAAAUGAGAACACAUACAGUCAACUCGCAUCUUUUAUUUUUAUGCAUUGUGUCUAAAAUAGAUGCAGGUCUGCCUACUUUCUUAACAUGCAUCUGACAGAAAGUAAUAGCACCCAUUUACAUUUCUGUACCGUUUCUUUCUGUGAGGGUCUUGGAGUACUUCUGGGGGGGACCAGACAAUGAGAAACAAUGCCUUCAGCCUGCAUCUACCUCAUCAUCUGGUCUGCAACAACUGGCAAAGCUGGGACCAUGGGGCAGCAGUGGGAGCUUUCUGAGGUGGCCUUGUUGCCUGCUUUGGGUGGUGUGGGCAGCUGUGGAAAAGCAUCCUUAAUUUCAGAGCACUGUUGUGGAGAGCUCAGAGAAGCCUCUGGGCACCUAUGGGACUGUUUGUUCUGCCAUCCAUCCUGUAUGCCAGAUGCUUUCUUUCCAUGGUUUUCCAAUUCCCACUGCCUGACAGUGAGUGGUUGCUGAGAAGCUGGCUUGGCUUUGGAUGUGCCCAUCACCCCUAUGCAGUGAGGGCUGGAGGUAGUGGUGACAAAAAGGAGAUUGCAAACGGCAUCACUGUUGUAGUCUCCUUAAAGUAUUUAGAAUCACCAAAGAUGAUGAUUUUGUUCAAUAAAUGGGCUUUAAAAAAAGAUUAUGUUGGGAGGGUAGUUCCUGUCAUGCCAGUUAUGUUUGUGGAAGUUUACAGUCACUGUUUUUAGUUUCAUACCCAGUUUGCCUCCUGGCUACGCCUGGAAAGGGGAUCUAGAAAAGGGGAAGCUGCUCAGAGCUGUUUACUUUGGAUCUAUUGCGGGUGGUGUGGUUUUCCCUUCCCACCCGGGUUCCUGCCCCCCUUCUCCCAACUCAUGACAGGGCCUUGUGUGCACGGUGAGCCAUUGCUGGAGGUGGGGCAGAGGCUGCCAUUAGGCAGCAUCAUGGAUUUUAGUAGGUCUAAGCCAGAUGUGACGUUUUAAUUAAUUAAAUUAUUUUGGUACUGUUGAGCUUUAUACUGGGCUGAUGUUAAUGACAGUACCAGGGCAUCAGCUGUAACUCUACCUCUGCGCAAGGUCUGUGGUCAUGAGCAAACUACUUGCUCUCUGGUUGGCCGUGUAGAGAAUAGGGAUAAUACUUGCCUCACAGGGGUAUUAUGAAAGUUAAUUUGCUAAUUGUUUAUAAAGCACAGUGGGAUGCUACUUCAGUUCUACACAGUGUUAUGUUAACAUCUAAUUAGUUAUUCCUUAUGAUGCUUCAUUUUCUUUCUGCUAUUAAUAUUGGCCUAAUACAGGGCCAAUGAUGACUCUGCCUGUCAUCUUGGUGACUCAGAUGGAACAAGCAAGCUGGAAUGAAUAAACAGGAUUUGGUUUGUAAAUGAUCUCUGUUUCUUUUUCCCCUUUUAUGCCAUCUUACCCAUAAAACUGACAUUGUCGGGAUUAGGGCUUUUCAGCAGUCGCAUUCAGUGCAGAAGCUGUGUUGUUGCAUGCAGAGCAGGUAGAGCCCCACUCCUUCCAUCUUACCAGGACAGAGACACAUGGAGACACGCAGCCAGUGAUGCCUUGUGACACUGGAUUUUCUCUCUGUGCAGUUGAAACACAGGCAUAUGGCAUGUGCUGUACAGCAAAGCUAGUGCACUGAAGCAGAGUCACUUGGGAAUUUACACCAGGCAAAAUAAGAUAGACGUCUGUGUGAAUGACCAUGAACCUUCCUGUUGGACAGCUUGCUGCAAUGCCUAUUUCCAUCAGCAGGUCCCUUUUUGGAGGGAGAAGUCAUCACUUGUAUAGAAAUGUUAGCCUUCAGCAACCUUCUUGCUUCUCUUGGGCCUUCCCAUCCCUCCCACCUUGCUUAUGUUCACCUCCUUGGAGCUUAGGUGAAAACCAGUUAAGUGUUUUGAGGUGGAAUGAGCUGUGCAUACUGGGAAUGCUGAGCCAUCCCUCUGUGGGCCUCAGGGUUUAAAUUUGCUGCACUGGGGAGAUCUCUGUCGUUGCUUUCAGUGGGGUCUGGACCACGA